ensembl:lncRNA
GAAGGGAAUGAAGGAAGAGCAUCCCAGAUUAACAUGGUGAGGUCAGAAGACAAGCAGAGAAGUCCGUAGUAUAUUCAACAAAAUUUCAGUCUGGCUGAAAUCUAGAGAGUUCCAUAGGUCUGAACUGCAAACUCUCAAAUCUUGCUGGUAUACGUUAGCCAGGUCCUGCAGUUCCUUCACUGUGAGACCCGUUUCCUUCUGGAAGGUAGAUAGUAAUCACCAGUAGCAGUACCUGACCCCAAUUUAUCAGGAUGGAGACAAUGACGGGAGAUGAAGGACAAGCACCAUCUUGUAAGGCUCCUGACUCAGCAUCAUCCAAAAUGCCAUCCUUUUACACUCACUGAAUCUUCACUCAAACGUUCAAUGCUUUGUAACUUUAAUGUCAUCUCGGACCUUCCUACCCUGUGAUUCUUGACAUCUUGAUGAUUGGCUCAAACUCUAAUUCUACAUUCUAAAGAAGCCCAAAGCCUGCUCCAGAGUUCUCCACAUUCCUGAUGUGCUCAUCGUCUCACGGUCAGCUCUGCACUCAGGUAACUUCUGUGUGUUUUUGUAACGCACUGUGUUGACAAGAUGUGACGCUGUUCUUCAUGCACCCAAAAAGGAAAAAGAAGGAAAAAAGAAAAAGACAAAACUACUCACAAAAAUAUUUCUGGAUGUUUGAGGGUAGUUUGUGGGGAGGGGAGAUGGCACUGCAAAUAUUUCCCAAUCAACAUUUAAUCAUCUCUUGAAAAUUCUUCUGGUCACCCUGCCGUGGAACCUUGCCCCAUCUCACUGACUCUUCUCUUUCCUCUGGUCCUCACUUCCUCCCACUCGGAUUGCCUUGGGAACCAAAAUAGUUUUUCUCUUCGCCUUUAUGGAGAGCAAUUCAGCUUUUCCUUAACUCCUACUCCCAAACUUUCCCACGCAAACCCUUCGCCCCAGCAGAAAAGGGCUGCUGCACAGCUCAAGUCACCUUUGUUAUCAGCUCCCCAGGUUACAAAUAAUAAAAUUUGUUUUUCUUUUACACUUUUCUGAUUUUAUGACUCGUUAGCCCCCAGUAGUCCCAGAAAUGUAGCCUCUAAAAGCUUACUGCCAACCCUUUUCCAAGCUGCAAGAAUACUCUUCUGCUGUCAAGGUUUAUUUAUCCCAAGGUAAAACUUUUACUUAAGUUCUGCCCUACUUUAUCACCUCGUGUGGCUCUAAAGCCCAGUUCCUUCUUUUUCUAAUUAUUCCCAGCAAGAGUGGCUCACAUGUAUUGGGUAUGUUCUUCAACCUCUUUGUCUCUGUUUCCCUCAUUUGAAAAUGGAAAUAAUAAUAAUGUCUUUUUCAUAAAUUUAUGAUGAUGAUUAAAUACACUUAGAACGGUGUCUACCUAGCACAAAUAAGUGUUCACAGUAUUUUCAUCAUUUUUAUUUUCAUUAUGGUUAUCAUAUACUGGACCCAAGAGUCUUCUACUUUUCAGAAGGUAUAAAGUAAGCAGGAUAAUGUCACUGAAUAUCAACGGGGGGCUGGACAGGGACUAUUUUGAAAACCCUAUGCGAGGCUAAAUUAGCACUCCCUACAAAGUAAGCCCCCAGUCCCAUAUCAGACUUAAUUUAAUGCCUCUCUUCCUAGAGACUAGCA